CAACAUGACUCGGGGUGCUUGCCAGUUUUGGUCAGACAGCUUUUGGCGAUUCGAUGGUGUUUGCGUGAUAGCGUUGAGCGUGUGUGCCAUCGUAUUGGGUUUAAAAGCAGCAAGCUGAGAGAUACCCGUCGCACCUGAUGCGGUUCGUACCGUCGUAGGGAAGUCUGGCGCGUUGUGA
rnacentral:ncRNA from 1 species